CCUACGGGUGGCAGCAGUGGGGAAUAUUCCACAAUGGAGGGAACCCUGAUGCAGCGACGCCGCGUGAGUGAAGAAGUAUUUCGGCACGUAAAGCUCUAUCAGCAGGGAAGAAGGAGACGGUUCCUGACUGAGAUGUCUCGGCGAACGACGUGUUAGCAGCCGCGGUAAUACGUAGGGGGAAAGCGUUAGCCGGAUUGACUGGGUGUAGAGGGAGCGUAGACGGCAGGGCAAGUCUGGAGUGAAAGCCUGGGGCUCAACCUCGGGACUGAGUUGGAAACUGCUAUGCUGGAGUGCAGGAGAGGUGAGCGGAAUGCCUAGUGUAGCGGUGAAAUGCGUAGAUAUUAGGAGGAACACCAGUGGCGAAGGCGGCUUACUGGACAGCAACUGACGUUGAGGCUCGAAAGCAUGGGGAGCGAACAGGAUUAGAUACCCGGGUAGUC
rnacentral:rRNA from 1 species